GGACCCGCACAAGUAGUGGAGCAUGUGGUUUAAUUCGAAGAUACGCGCAGAACCUUACCAACACUUGACAUGUUCGUCGCGACUUUAAGAGAUUAAAGUUUUCGGUUCGGCCGGACGAAACACAGGUGCUGCAUGGCUGUCGUCAGCUCGUGUCGUGAGAUGUUGGUUAAGUCCCGCAACGAGCGCAACCCUCACUUUUAGUUGCCAUCAUUAAGUUGGGCACUCUGAAAGAACUGCCAGUGAUAAGCUGGAGGAAGGUGGGGAUGACGUCAAGUCCUCAUGGCCCUUACGUGUUGGGCUACACACGUGCUACAAUGGUAUCUACAGUGAGUUAAUCUCCAAAAGAUGUCUCAUUCGGA
rnacentral:rRNA from 1 species